rnacentral:rRNA from 1 species
GACGUAGGGCGCGAGCGUUGUCCGGAUUGAUUGGGCGUAAAGAGCUCGUAGGCGGCUCGUUGCGUCGGCUGUGAAAACCCGCAGCUCAACUGUGGGCCUGCAGCCGAUACGGGCGGGCUGGAGUUCGGUAGGGGAGACUGGAAUUCCUGGUGUAGCGGUGAAAUGCGCAGAUAUCAGGAGGAACACCGGUGGCGAAGGCGGGUCUCUGGGCCGAUACUGACGCUGAGGAGCGAAAGCGUGGGGAGCGAACAGGAUUAGAAACCCCCGUAGUCC